GAAAUGCGAUAAUUAAUGUGAAUUGCAGAAUUCAGUGAAUCAUCGAGUCUUUGAACGCACAUUGCGCCCCCUGGUAUUCCGGGGGCAUGCCUGUCCGAGCGUCAUUGCUGCCCUCAAGCACGGCUUGUGUGUUGGGCUUCCGUCCCUGGCAACGGGGGCGGGCCCAAAAGGCAGUGGCGGCACCAUGUCUGGUCCUCGAGCGUAUGGGGCUUUGUCACCCGCUCCCGUAGGUCCAGCUGGCAGCUAGCCUCGCAACCAAUCUUUUUAACCAGGUUGACCUCGGAUCAGGUAGGGAUACCCGCUGAACUUAAGC
rnacentral:misc_RNA from 1 species